rnacentral:sRNA from 1 species
GCGUUUCAUGCUUGCAUGAAAAAGCAUGAAUUUGAGACCCGCAAAAACAUGAAAAAGUAGCCCGAUAGGGCGGAUUUUGAAUGUUUUUAGGAUUUCGGGAGCACAAAGUGCGGAGAAAUCCGUGAUAUC